rnacentral:rRNA from 1 species
CCUACGGUGGCAGCAGUGGGGGAUAUUGCACAAUGGAGGAAACUCUGAUGCAGCAACGCCGCGUGAGGGAAGAAGGUCUUCGGAUUGUAAACCUCUGUCCUCAGGGACGAUAAUGACGGUACCUGAGGAGGAAGCUCCGGCUAACUACGUGCCAGCAGCCGCGGGAAUACGUAGGGAGCAAGCGUUGUCCGGAUUUACUGGGUGUAAAGGGUGCGUAGGCGGCCCUGCAAGUCAGGUGUGAAAACUAUGGGCUUAACUCAUAGAUUGCACUUGAAACGGUGGGGCUUGAGUGAAGUAGAGGGAGGCGGAAUUCCCGGUGUAGCGGUGAAAAGCGUAUAUAGAGGGAAGAACAGCAGUGGCGAAGGCGGCCUGCUGGGAUUUAACUGACGCUGAGGCACGAAAGCGUGGGUAGCAAACAGGAUUAGAAACAGGUGUAGUC